GCGGGUUCUAAUGGGUCCCUCUGGGUCUCUGUGGGUCUCUAUGGGGCCAACGUGGGACCCGUCUGCUUACCCGGCCCCACAUUCCAUUUCCCUGCCGGGACCCAAUGCGUGGCUACGGGGUGGGGGGACAUCGGGGAAGGAGAGGACCUCCCGUCGCCGCGGCGGCUGCAGGAGGUGUGGGUCCCGCUGAUGGGGCAGGCUCAGUGCCGCCGACUCUAUGGGACCCAAAUGGGGACCCAGCUACCGCCAAGGAAGGUCCAGGAUGACAUGAUCUGUGCCGGGUACCCACAGGGCAUCAGGGACACAUGUAAGGGUGACUCAGGGGGUCCCCUUGUUUGCCUAUCCGGUUCCCGUUGGGUUCUGG